AGUGAACGCUGGCGGUAUGCCUAACACAUGCAAGUCGAACGGCAGCACAGUAAGAGCUUGCUCUUACGGGUGGCGAGUGGCGGACGGGUGAGGAAUACAUCGGAAUCUACUUUUUCGUGGGGGAUAACGUAGGGAAACUUACGCUAAUACCGCAUACGAACUACGUGUGAAAGCAGGGGAUCUUCGGAACUUGCGCGAUUGAAUGAGCCGAUGUCGGACUAGCUAGUUGGAGGGGUAACGGCCCACCAAGGCGCCGAACCGUAGCUGGUAUGAGAGGAUGAUCCGACACACUGGAACUGAGACACGGUCCAGACUCCUACGGGAGGCAGCAGUGGGGAAUAUUGGACAAUGGGCGAAAGCCGGAUCCAGCCAUACCGCGUGGGUGAAGAAGGCCUUCGGGUUGGAAAGCCCUUUUGUUGGGAAAGAAAAGCAGCAGGUUAAUACCCCGCUGUUCUGACGGUACCCAAAGAAUAAGCACCGGCUAACUUCGUG
rnacentral:rRNA from 1 species